rnacentral:rRNA from 1 species
GACGAACGCUGGCGGCGUGCUUAACACAUGCAAGUCGAACGGAAAGGCCCUGCUUUUGUGGGGUGCUCGAGUGGCGAACGGGUGAGUAACACGUGAGUAACCUGCCCUUGACUUUGGGAUAACUUCAGGAAACUGGGGCUAAUACCGGAUAGGAGCUCCUGCUGCAUGGUGGGGGUUGGAAAGUUUCGGCGGUUGGGGAUGGACUCGCGGCUUAUCAGCUUGUUGGUGGGGUAGUGGCUUACCAAGGCUUUGACGGGUAGCCGGCCUGAGAGGGUGACCGGCCACAUUGGGACGGAGAGACGGCCCAGACUCCUACGGGAGGCAGCAGUGGGGAAUAUUGCACAAUGGGCGGAAGCCUGAUGCAGCAACGCCGCGUGCGGGAUGACGGCCUUCGGGUUGGAAACCGCUUUCGCCUGUGACGAAGCGUGAGUGACGGUAAUGGGUAAAGAAACACCGGCGAACUACGG